ACGCUCGACACCUACGUGAGGCAGCAGUCGGGAAUAUUGCGCAAUGGAGGAAACUCUGACGCAGUGACGCCGCGUGCAGGAAGAAGGUUUUCGGAUUGUAAACUGCUUUAGACAGGGAAGAAAGAAAUGACAGUACCUGUAGAAUAAGCUCCGGCUAACUACGUGCCAACAGCCGCCGGUAAGUACUUGAGCGGGCGUGGCGAAGGACGC
rnacentral:rRNA from 1 species